AUAGCGUAUAUUAAAGUUGUUGCAGUUAAAAAGCUCGUAGUUGGAUUUCUAGGAAAAGGCCUCAAAACCAAUUCCUACUAGUCCCUUCCGGGACAGUUACUGUGAGAAAAUUAGAGUGUUUCAAGCAGGCUUUUGCAGGAAUACAUUAGCAUGGAAUAACGAAUGUUACUAGAAUCUUGGUUAAUUCUAGACAACGAUUAAUAGGGACAGUUGGGGGCAUUAGUAUUUAACUGUCAGAGGUGAAAUUCUUGGAUUUAUUGAAGACUAACUACUG
rnacentral:rRNA from 1 species